GAAAGUGCUAAGAUUACAGGAGCUGUAAAAUUGACAAGCUUGGCAUGUGGAAAUCAGCACAUCUGGGCCUGUGAUUCCAGGGGUGGAGUUUACUUCCGUGUAGGGACUCAGCCUCUCAAUCCCAGUCUCAUGCUUCCAGCCUGGAUAAUGAUUGAGCCACCUGUCCAGGUAAGCAGAAGUUAGCUGGUGGAACUCACUCUUCAGUAAGACAGAAACUGUGAGGAUGCUGGUACUGGGAAAAAGGAUCUGCACAGCCUCUAGAGGCCUCCCAGCAAAUGCGGGG
rnacentral:lncRNA from 1 species